CCUACGGGAGGCAGCAGUGGGGAAUAUUGCGCAAUGGGCGAAAGCCUGACGCAGCGACGCCGCGUGAGGGAUGAAGGUCUUCGGAUCGUAAACCUCUGUCAGCAGGGAAGAACGGGCACUGUGCUAAUCAGCAGUGAAUUGACGGUACCUGCAAAGGAAGCACCGGCUAACUCAGUGCCAGCAGCCGCGGUAAUACGGAGGGUGCGAGAGUUACGCGGAAUUACUGGGCGUAAAGCGCUCGUAGGCGGUAUGUCAAGUCAAGGGUGAAAUCCCCGCGCUUAACGUGGGAACUGCCUUUGAAACUGGCAAACUUGAGUGUGUGAGAGGAUAGUGGAAUUCCAGGUGUAGGAGUGAAAUCCGUAGAUAUCUGGAGGAACAUCAGUGGCGAAGGCGACUAUCUGGCACAUAACUGACGCUGAGGAGCGAAAGCGUGGGUAGCAAACAGGAUUAGAUACCCCGGUAGUC
rnacentral:rRNA from 1 species